GAGGAGGCAGACCUGUCUGAUCAGGCAUUCCUGGGACCUAAAAUGGUGCUUGUUUAAACUGCAGGCUGGCUUGGGGGCUGCAGAAGUAAGAACCUCGGGCUGGUUGAAUGAAAUUUUCCCUAUAAGACUACUCCAGUGCUAAUGACAGCAACAAUAAGGGACCCAGCAAUUCAGUACUGGAGGGUGCUGCUGAGGGAACAUUGACAUAAGGGCAGGUGGUGUUAACCCUCCUUGAGAGCUGUCCAGUUGUAGCCUACCUGCUGCUGAAACCUCAGCUGAGUGUCUGCAGGAUGCUGUGGUGUGGAGCUGUGAAUGUGCUCGUUGCAUGGAGCAGACCAUCGCGAUGGUGGUAAGCACGCUACAGAAAUAAUAGGAGAGGUGUGUGUGUGAGGAGACCAGGGGUGGACAUCUACACAUGGGAGUGAACAAUAUAGGGUUUGAUCCACUACAAACUGACCAAGGAAUCAAUUAAUUGUUUGUCUUGUAGGCUUUUCAUGUAACUGAGUGAAUAGGGGUAUAUCUGGGAAAAAACUAGGCUUUUAUUUCACUGCAAGCUUGCUCUGUGUAAUCUUCUUCAUCUCCCUGAGCCAGUGUUCAUCCAUAGCUAUUUUUUUUCACUUUCUGACUAGGGGAGAGGAAGGAAAAGGCAGCCUGCAGAUGCUUUUUAUUAUACAUAUUACAUUUAGGCAAUGAGACCUUGAAUUCACUGAAAGCUGUGAAUGCUAUCAUGAUGAAAAUAAAGCAUGUAAUCUCAUUUGUAAUAGGCAACGCAUAGAUGGUACUUUUUUCAGUUUGCUUCUGAAGAAGGCCCCCAAAAUUGCAUAUGCUGUGUUGUAUAUAAGGCAACUACUGGUACCUCUUUUAAUCAUAUAUAUAUAUAUAUAUAUAUUAAUUCCCCAUCAUCUUCUCUCCACAGAUUUCUUAUUUUCUUCUUUUCUGUUAUCUUCAUUUUAUCUUUUGGAGAGGUAGUGUGUUUUACCAAGAAGAAUGGCUCUUAUAAUCAUGGAUAUCACCUUUUCAUACACUUCAGACAGGCUGUCAGAUGUAAAAACCUUUCCUUAGGCAGCAGUGGAAAAAAAAUAUUGUUAAAAAUAGCUUGUAUUUUGACUAAAAAAGGGCAUGAACACAUGAGUUAUCCUGCCUCCCCAAAAUAAAACCUCUUCCUAUUAUUAUAUUAAGAAAAUUGUUAGGUCCAACAGCUUCACAGAGAUACAUUUUGCUUUUCAAUGCAUACUUCAAUCGCUGAUCCAAUUAUUACUGAAAGUUUCAGAGGCAAAAUUAAUUAGCAGUCUGCCAUAGUUCUCCAGACUCCUGGAGUUCCAGUAAUGACUUGAUUUUUGUAGAACUGUGCUUAUUACAUGCAAUAGGCAAGUCUGGACAUAACAACUUACUCUGUGAAGCUUCUUAAAACUUAUUACUAUUAUCAGCAUCCUCUCUGCAACUGCAGAGUUGCCAGAUGUUGGGACUGUAAGCACAGAAUGCAGAAUUCAAGUUAUACUUUAUUGUUUGGAAAAAGGUCUUAAGACUUUCCCCCAUCUCCAGCAAUUAUCAAAAAUAAUUAUGGACAUUUUUCAGGUUAAAUAAAAACUAGUAAUGAGGGGGAGUCCACACUUUAAGCUCUUGUUAAUAAUUAAUUUUCAGAUUUGGCAGCUUAGAUUUAUAGAGUUCAGUCCCUCCAACUUUUUAUAUGUUAAGGAAAAUAACAUUAUUAUUAUUAUUAUUAUUUUCUGCUUAGAAAUACAAUAGUUUUGGACUUUUUAGGUCAGAUCUUCAGAUCCCAUAGUUCUGAAUGUUGUAAAAUUGAUCCACAUUUGCUGAGGCUCUAAUUCCAUUUCUGAAUGGGGCAUGAUGGUUGAAAAGUCCUCUUUCCAGAUAAUAUUAGCUUGGGCUUUUCAGAGGAGUUUGGGUUCUUCUUUUGGUCAUGCUGAGCCCUUACACUCUGAUCCAAAGUAGGAAUUGGACAUUUAUUUCAAAGAAGUGUUCUUUAGUCUUUGGUAUCGUAACACAUGUGUUGCAUUUGCAAAAAUGUUUGUAGCUCCAUGGAACAUCUAGACAUUUAGUGCAUACUAAGUAAGUGG